GCGCCAUGCCGCGUGUGUGAAGAAGGCCUUCGGGUUGUAAAGCACUUUCAGUAGGGAGGAAGGGGGUGUAGUUAAUACCUGCAUUAUUUGACGUUACCUACAGAAGAAGCACCGGCUAACUCCGUGCCAGCAGCCGCGGUAAUACGGAGGGUGCGAGCGUUAAUCGGAAUUACUGGGCGUAAAGCGCAUGCAGGCGGUUUGUUAAGUCAGAUGUGAAAGCCCGGGGCUCAACCUCGGAAUUGCAUUUGAAACUGGCAGACUAGAGUCUUGUAGAGGGGGGUAGAAUUUCAGGUGUAGCGGUGAAAUGCGUAGAGAUCUGAAGGAAUACCGGUGGCGAAGGCGGCCCCCUGGACAAAUACUGACGCUCAGAUGCGAAAGCGUGGGGAGCAAACAGGAUUAGAUACCCUGGUAGUCCACGCCGUAAACGAUGUCUACUUGGAGGUUGUGGCCUUGAGCCGUGGCUUUCGGAGCUAACGCGUUAAGUAGACCGCCUGGGGAGUACGGUCGCAAGAUUAAAACUCAAAUGAAUUGACGGGGGCCCGCACAAGCGGUGGAGCAUGUGGUUUAAUUCGAUGCAACGCGAAGAACCUUACCUACUCUUGACAUCCAGAGAAUUUUGCAGAGAUGCAUUGGUGCCUUCGGGAACUCUGAGACAGGUGCUGCAUGGCUGUCGUCAGCUCGUGUUGUGAAAUGUUGGGUUAAGUCCCGCAACGAGCGCAACCCUUAUCCUUGUUUGCCAGCGCGUAAUGUCGGAAAUUCCAGGAAGACUGCCGGUGAUAAACCGAAGGAAGGUGGGAACAACGUCAAGUCAUCAUGGCCCUUACAAGUAGGGUUACCCACGUGCUACAAUGGCUAUAUACAGAGGGUUGCACACUGCGAGAGUGAGCUAAUCCCAAAAAGCUGGGUCGAAGUCCGGAAUGAAGUCUGCAACUCGACUCCAUGAAGUCGGAAUCGCUAGUAAUCGGGGAUCAAAUGCCACGGUGAAUACGUUCCCGGGCCUUGUACCCCGCCCGUCCCACCAUGGG
rnacentral:rRNA from 1 species